AUAGAAAUUUCAGUCUAGUAAAAUAAAUCAACUUGGCUAUUUCCAUAAUUGUUUACAGAUUGUGUCUCAUUGAUUUAGAGCUAGAGAAUCGAGUAAUGUAAUAUCUUUAGUUCGAAUAUUGAAAAGAAAAUUGUUUUGGGUCCACUUCGAGGAACUCAAAAUAAGUUAGCUUUCGGAAAAGUUGUCAUAUACCAAAAGAAGUCUCACAAUUGUCUCCGGAUCGCAAAAGACUUGAUGUGAUUUUGGUCUGGCUGUGUUCUGAGACUGAUCAACUUCAUCGUACCUAAAACAAGUUUUUCUCGUGCAAUUUGUUCCAGUAUACGAAAAUACGGUGGCAAGCGAAACAUCUGAAAAUACAAUCAGAAGCCAAUUUACAGAAGGUUGUAAGACCACGAGGAAAUGGAAAGAAAAGUUAAAGUUAAAUAAAUCUCAGGAUAGAAGAGUACUGUCUCUAUUUCUCGGCUAUUUAAACUGCAGCAAAUAAGUUUUUUACAUUUUCAUAAAACUUUUGGGGUUUUAAUCACUGAUAAUGAUGCCAAAUUAUUUUUCUCUAUAGGGAAUAUUAACUUCUCAGUUCCCGGUGUAAGGAAAAAAAAACAAUGAGUACCAAAUCUCAAGCCGUGGAACCUUUGAUUCCUGAAGGACAUACGUUACCUUUAUCGAAGCGGAUUUAUCCAGUUGGUGGUAUUUAUAACUGAACUAUUUAAGCAGGAAAGAUUUGAUGAACUCAUUUCAACUCUAUAUAGCAGAGUAAUUAAUAAAUUAAAUGUUAGCCCAACACACAAAUAUAUUUUUUUUUUAAAUUCCAAAUAUUUGUAUACAUAUAAAAUAAUCGAAUCGACAUAUAAACAAAAAUAUCAAAAUUUACAUAAUUCUCAAAUUGAAUCAGCAGCAUAACUCAUAGCUUCAUAAAAACAAAUAUAUUGACAAACCACAAUUUUUAAUUUUAUCAUAAACCAAAUGAAGUUAUAUGUUUUUCACGAAUCACACCAACUUUGAACUACCAUGGCUGACAAUAUAUUGAGGGCUUAUGUCCAAACAGUGCUUUGCAUAAAUUUACCAAUUUCUGUAUUAGCCAAACUGUGGCUACUUAUGAAUUAUGCAACAACUGAAAAAAGAACGGAAGAAAAUUAAAAGUUUGAUUGCUGCUUGCAUAUUGCUUUUAUAUUGCCUGUUUAGUGUCAUGAGGCAGCUGUUUAAGGUAACAAAUAUUAAAUUUACUGGCAGAAAUUAUUAAUUUCUCCACUACUUCCCCCAAAAUAUUCAAAAAAAAAUGUGUCAGCAAAAAUGUAAAGUUUUUAAUGUCCGUUGGUGGUAAGUAAUUUGCAUAUAAAAAAUACUAAAAAACAUACAUACAAGUAUACAUUUUUGUAUAUGCCCUAAUGAUAUAUAUACAUAUGCACGCCCCAGCAAUCAUCAAACCACUUUUCACGCACUCAAAAUGUAACUAAACACACCCUUUCUUCCUGAAAAUCUUAUUUUAAAUUUAUAUAUAUGUACAUAUUUAUGCAGAGAUAAGCAUAUUAUAUUUGAAUGGGUUGACUCAAUAAACAUACCAUUUCCAUAUGCUACCUUGACUCAUUUUCCCCCUUUCUUGUUGUUGCUUCCCUUUUUUUCGUGCCUUUUAAAUAUUGCUUUGAUCUUCAACAUCACCUUGCUUUCGACAGCAUGUAUUCCCAGCGCAAACAUCUCCCCUGCCUUGCGCUUUCAAUCGUUUUUUGUUUUUUUUUUUGAUUUUUUAUCCUUUCUUUCUCGCCAAUUCACAACAUUGAAGUGCCUGUUGAUUAUACCUUCCAUUUACCUUUAACCAAAUUACCACAGAAAAUCCGACCACUUUGCGAUUUUUGCACGCUACACUACCCUCAUCCAAGUACCUUUGCAACAGCCGGCACAUGCCACAAAUAUACGAACAGUAUGUAUUAGGGAGGUCCUCAAGCAUCGGAGGAAAUUUGUAUAACAUAUAUUAGAAGCAAAAUCGUAUAUAGAAUUGUUCAGGACAUACCGUUUAAGGUUCGAUACCGAUUGGAGACGGUUGAGGUCAAUCCAAAUGGGGUCAAGGGUCAACUUCCUAUAAAAGGCUUCAAAUCUGAUCAAUAUUGAUGUAUUAGAUAAAAUAGGUCAAAGAAUACAGUUUAAAGUUGGAUACGGAUUGGAGACGGUUGAGGUCAAUCCAAAUGGGAUCAAAGGUCAAAUAAUAAUCCAUAAUAAUCUCCGAAUCAGAUCAGUAUUGAUAUGAAUUACCGUCAACUUUAGUGGUUUCGAUUUCGGUUACUAUUAAUAAGGUCGAAGUAAUUUCCUAUUAAAUUAAACGUAUUUCGGCAUCUAGGGAAAUACCAUAUGCAUCACUUGUUCUGCGACUAACGAAUCCGAUCAUUUGUUUUAUUUUCGGGCACCUCCCUAAUACUUCUACAUACUCUACAAUCACUGUGUUGGGCGCAUUUUCACUUUUCAUAUUCAAAUUUGUUACACUCAAGUGUAUAGAAAAAGCAUUACAGCAGCACGUGGCGUGUAACAAACCAGAGAGGGAAGCGUGGGUACAUGUAUCAAGGCAAACAAAAAAUUAUAAAAAAACUGAAAGCAACGAGUAAAGCUCGAAAAUGUUGGCAAUAAUGCUGAGGCAGCAACAGUCAGCAGGCUGUGAAGAGUCGUGGCAUUCAAAGUGUAGCAAAAUUGACGUUGCUGAACAAUUGAUUCAGUUGCUGGUUGAGUGGACGACUUGAUGGCUUCUGCUGAGGUACGUACAAAUAUUCUUUUUUCAUGUUCGUAACUUAUUUACUCCAUUCUAAUUUAAGCCGUAAUCCGGAGGAAAUUAUAAACAACAUCAAAAGAGAAAAGAAGGAGAUGAAAGAAAUAAUAGUAUUUAAAUAAAUUAGGCAAAAUUUGGUUUUAAUAAGGAGUACAGG